rnacentral:rRNA from 1 species
AGGCAAAAUGGUGCCGUAACUUCGGGAGAAGGCACGCUGAUAUGUAGGUGAAGUGAUUUACUCAUGGAGCUGAAAUCAGUCGAAGAUACCAGCUGGCUGCAACUGUUUAUUAAAAACACAGCACUGUGCAAACACGAAAGUGGACGUAUACGGUGUGACGCCUGCCCGGUGCCGGAAGGUUAAUUGAUGGGGUUAUCCGUAAGGAGAAGCUCUUGAUCGAAGCCCCGGUAAACGGCGGCCGUAACUAUAACUGUCCUAAGGUAGCGAAAUUCCUUGUCGGGUAAGUUCCGACCUGCACGAAUGGCGUAAUGAUGGCCAGGCUGUCUCCACCCGAGACUCAGUGAAAUUGAACUCGCUGUGAAGAUGCAGUGUACCCGCGGCAAGACGGAAAGACCCCGUGAACCUUUACUAUAGCUUGACACUGAACACUGGUCCUUGAUGUGUAGGAUAGGUGGGAGGCUUUGAAGUGUGGACGCCAGUCUGCAUGGAGCCAUCCUUGAAAUACCACCCUUUAAUGGCUGGUGUUCUAACGUGGACCCGUAAUCCGGGUUGCGGACAGUGUCUGGUGGGUAGUUUGACUGGGGCGGUCUCCUCCCAAAGAGUAACGGAGGAGCACGAAGGUUAGCUAAUCCUGGUCGGACAUCAGGAGGUUAGUGCAAAGGCAUAAGCUAGCUUGACUGCGAGAGUGACGGCUCGAGCAGGUGCGAAAGCAGGUCUUAGUGAUCCGGUGGUUCUGAAUGGAAGGGCCAUCGCUCAACGGAUAAAAGGUACUCCGGGGAUAACAGGCUGAUACCGCCCAAGAGUUCAUAUCGACGGCGGUGUUUGGCACCUCGAUGUCGGCUCAUCACAUCCUGGGGCUGAAGUAGGUCCCAAGGGUAUGGCUGUUCGCCAUUUAAAGUGGUACGCGAGCUGGGUUUAGAACGUCGUGAGACAGUUCGGUCCCUAUCUGCCGUGGGCGCUGGAGAAUUGAGGGGGGCUGCUCCUAGUACGAGAGGACCGGAGUGUACGCAUCACUGGUGUUCGGGGUGGCAUGCCAAUGGCAU